AACAGCUUUCAUUAGCGAGAACUGGUCCAUCAUGGUGAUGCCAUGCUACCCUCCCAUCGUCGUCAUUGUCUCCGAUGACUUUAUCUACCAUUUUGUACUAUUUGAAAGUGGAAACAUGAAGUAUCUCCAAAUGGUUGAAGCCAUCCAAAAGUGGGAGUCACCACCUGGUGAAAUGCUCUGGGAGGGGAUGCACCGAUUAUAUAGUCAAAGAUACUGCUUCGAUGAGUAGGUACUUCAUCGUAAGUCACGCCGGGAUCCUCACAGUUAUCAUACCAACGUUGGAUAGUUUUUACAGAUUUCUGGAAAGGAUUACCCUG